rnacentral:lncRNA from 10 species
GUCUGUAGCCAUGCCAUCCUGAAUGACUGAUCUAAAUUUUCUCAUUUUUAUUACUUUUAAAAUAGCAUAUAAUUAUAAUUUUUUGACUCAAGAAUUUUUUAAGACUCAGCUUUUUAAUGUUAAAAUUAAAAAUAAUUGGGUUAGGCCAGGCUCUGUGCCUCACGCCUGUAGCCUGAGCACUUUGGGAGGCUGAGACAGGAGGAUUGCUUGAGUCCUGGAGUUUGAGACAAGCUUGGGCAACAUAGGGAGACCCUGUCUCUGAAAAAUAAAAAAAUUAGUCAGGCACGGUGGCGCACACCUAUACUCCUGGCUACUUCGGAGACUAAGGUGGAAGGAUUGCUUGAGCCUGGGAGAUUGAAGGCUGCAAUGGGCUAUGAUUGCACCACUGCACUCUAGCUGGGGUGACAGAGUGAGACGCUGCCUCCAAAAAAAUUUUUUUGGCGGUAAAAAUUCUACCUAAUGAAAGUUUAAUAUACAUAAUUGUAAAUAAUACAUACAUAAUUGUAAACAAUAUAUAUGUAUACGCACACAAAUGAGUAUGGCCAGUGUAGAAGGGGGAUAAUAGUUCUAACAUGGGUCUAGAUGGUCUGCUUUCCACAUGAGCUUCUUCUACCUAGUUUGUGUUGAGUCAUCUCUUUUUUGCUUCAUGGCCCCUCAUUACCAAGUUCUUAGUUUAAUUCAGUGGUUUAUAGUAUGUUUUAAUAGCCAGUAAUAUUAAUCCCACCUCGAUAUUAUUUUCCCAUAAUUUUAUUACUUAUUUCAGACAUUAUUUUUUCCAUAAAAACUAUCAGACCAUUUCAUUCAAUUUAAAAAAUCAAAUAAAAAUAUCUCUUUUCUGGAAUAAAAUCAGGAUUGCACAAAAUUUAUACAUUAAUUUUGGGGAAGUGAUAUUUUGAGAUUAGAUCUUCCCAUCCAAGAACAUGCUGUCAUUGCAUAUUCAUAUUUUGUUUAUAUACUUCAAUAGAAGUUUAUAGUUUUAAAAAUCUAGGUUUGUAUACCUCUCAUUAAAAUGUAAAGUAUUUUCCAGCCUGACCAACAUGGUGAGACCCUCAUCUCUAGAAAAAACUUAAAAAUUAGCCGGGCAUGGUGAUGCACACCUGUGGUCCCAGCUACUCAGGGGGCUGAGGCAGGAAGAUCACUUGAGCCCAGGAGGUUGAGACUGCAGUGAGUGAGCCAUGUUCGCACCACUGCACUCAAAACCUGGGUGACAAAGUAAGAUCCUGUACCAAAAAUAAAUAAAUAAGUAAACAAAUAAAUAAAUAUGUAUAGGAUAACAUGAAUGUAAUAUUUUCUCUAAUUUCUGUUUUUACCUAGUGAUUCCUCUUAUAGAUAUAUGUGAGUCAACAUAUCGCUCUUGUUGCUCAGGCUGGAGUGCAGUGGUGUAAUCUCGGCUCACUGCAACCUCUGCCUCAAAUGAUUCUCUUGCCUCAGGCUCCCAAGUAGCUGGGAAUACGGGCGCCCACCACCACACUCAGCUAAUUGUUUGUAUUUUUAGUAGAGAUGGGGUUUCACAAUGUUGGCCAGGCUGGUCUUGAAGUGUUGACCUCAGGUGAUCCCCCCACCUCACCCUCCCAAAAUGCUGGGAUUAUAGGCAUGAGCCACCGCGCCUGACCUUUUAUUUUUGUAUAUGCAGCCAUUUAACAAAUUCCAUCCAUUCUAGUAGUUUUUACGAGGAUCUCCUGGGUCUAAUAAAUUGAAAAACCACAAACAGUAGAAAGAAUACAAAAUCCAUUAAAAAACAAAAACCAAAACAAGAUAAAGCUCCUAGUCGAUAUGGAUGCUUCUUUCCUGAGGAUGGUAGUUUGAAUAACAAGGUUGCAAACUAUUCUAGCCCAGCAUUGAGCAAACUAUGGCCCACAAGGCAAAUCCUGCAUUUUUGUAAACAAAGCUAUAUUGGAACAUAGCCACGCUCAUUUGUUUACAUAUUGUCUUGCUGCUUUCACACUUCAGCGGUAGAGAUGAGUAGUUGUGAAAGAGACCAUAUGGCUCACAAAGCCUAAAAUAUUUAGUAUCUAGCCUUUUUUUAAUAGAAAAAGAUAAAAUCACAAUGAGGUGUAAUCUCACCCAGUUAGAAUGGUUAUUAUCAAAAGGACAAAAAAUAAUAAAUGCUAGCAGGAUGAGGAGAAAGGGGAACUCUUACACUGUUGGUGGGAACGUCAAUUAGUUCAGCCAUUAUGGAAAACAGUAAAAUGGUUCCUCAAAAAACUAAAAAUAGAACUAUCAUGAUCCAGCAACGCCACUAUUAGGUAAAUAUCUAAAGGAAAGGAAAUCAGUACAUUAAAGGGAUACAUGCACCCCAUGUUUACUGCAGCACUAUUCACAAUAGCCAAGGUAUGGAAUCAACCUGUGUCCAUCAACAGAUGAAUGGAUAAAGCAAAUGUGGUAUAUAUACACAAUGGAAUACUAUUUAGCUGUAAAAAGAAUGAAAUUCUAUCAUUUGCAGCGACAUGGAUGAAAUUGAAGAACAUUAUGUUAAGUGAAAUGAGCCAGGCACAGAAAGAUAAAUGCUGCAUGUUCUUACUCACAAGCAGAAGCGUAAAAAAGCAUUGAUCUCAUGGAGGUAGAGAGUAGAGCAGUGGUUACUAGAGGUGGGGACGGGUAAGGGGAGAGAGGAACAGCUAAAGAUUGGUUAACGAAUACAAAAGUACAGUAGGAUAGGAGGAAUACAUUCUAGUGUUCUAUAGUACUACGGAGUGACUGUAAUUAACAAUAAUUUAUUAUAUAUUUUCAAAUAGAACAGAUUUUGAAUGUACACAAAGAAAUGAUCAAUGUUUGAGGUAAUUGGUAUGCUGAUCACCCUGAUUUGAUCAUUACACCUUGUAUACAUGUAUAGAGGUAUACUGUAGUCCAUAAAUAGGUAUAAUUAUUUUAUUUAUUUAUUUAUUUAUUUAUUUAUUUUGAGAUGGAUUUUUGCUCUUGUGCCCAGGCUAGAGUGCAAUGGCGCAAUCUCAGUUCAUGGCAACCUCUGCCUCCCGGGUUCAAACGAUUCUCCUGGCUCAGCCGCCCAAGUAGCUGGGACUAUAGGCAUGCGCCACCACACCUGGCUAAUUUUUAGUAGAGACAGAGUAUUUUUAGUAGAGACAGGGUUUCUCCAUGUCUCUACUAAGACAUGCAGAGGCUUGGUCAGGCUGAUCUCGAACUACCAACCUCAUGUGAUCCACCAGCCUUGGCCUCUCAAAGUGCUGGGAUUACAGGCGUGAGCCACCGCACGUGGCCAAUAGGUAGAAUUAUUAUGUGUCGAUUUUAAAAAGAUAAAACAAAGGGGGAUAGUGUCUAUUUGUUAGCUCUUUUGUGCAAGAUUUUGCUACAAUUUACUGUUUCUAGAAGGCUUUGCUUUAUUAAGAAAACUACUCCCUUGGCCGGGCUCGGCGGCUCAUGCCUGUAAUCCUAGCACUUUGGGAGACCGAGGUUGGCAGAUUGCCUGAGGUCAGGGGUUCAAGACCAGCCUGGCUAACAUGGUGAAACCUCAUCUCUACUAAAAAUACAAAAAUUAGCCGGAUGUGGUGGCACAUGCCUAUAGUCCCAGCUAUUUGGGAGGCUGAGGCAGGAGAAUGGCUUGAACCCAGGAGGUGGAGGUUGCAGUGAGCUGAGAUGGAGCCACUGCACUCCAGCCUGGGUGACACAGCAAGACUCCGUCUCAAAAAAAAAAAAAAAAAGCCUACUCCCUUUUACUCCCCACCCUGCUACAGCCCAAAUUUGUUGGUUUUCUAAACUAAUGUGAUAUUUGAAAAGCUGUAAUUCCCAGUAAAUUAAUUCAACAAGUAUUUACUAAGCUUCUACUAUGUGUUAGGCAUUUGAGAUACUUUAUGGAGAAAAGGGACAAAACGCCAUGCCUGGUUGGAGCUUUUAUUCUAGUACCGUCAGAAAGGGUAAAAGACAGCUCAAACACAUUAAUUAUGUAAGACACACACUAAAUUAAAUGGUAAUAAUUUCUAUGGAGAAAAAUAAAGCAGGAAAGUCCUUGUGCGAUGGUGACAUUUGAGCCAUGACCUCAAGGAAAUAACAGUGAGCCAUGAAAAAAUCUGAAGGAAGAACUGCACUCUAGGCAGAAAAAAUUGACAAGCGCAAAGAGGUCUUGGUGGUGCAUGCCUGGUGUGUCUGUCUGGAAAGCAACAGGGAUGCAUGUGGCUGGAGCACAGUAAAUCAGGUAGGAGUAUAGGAGGAGAAGCGGUCUUAGAGAGAACAUGCUACCAGAUUAUUUGGGGCCCACAGGCUAUUGUAAUGACUCUGGCUUUUACAGAAAAAGAUGGGAAACCAGUGGGAGCUUUGAGUAUCCAGGGGUGUGAUCUGUAUUUUGACAGGCUCACUCUGGCUGCUGUUGAGAACAGACUGAAGGAAGCCAAGGACAGAUUCAUGGAGACCUCUUAAGAGUCAACAGCAAAAUUCCAAGCACAGAUCAUGGUGGAUUAGAACAAGAAGUUAGUAGUGGAGGUAGUAAAAAUGGAAGCCCAAAGGUUAUUCUCAUUCCAGCUUCUAAUUAGUGUCAGUUCCUCUCAGAUUCUGGCAUUAGAUAAUUGUCUUGAUUUUGUGCGUUUUUCUUAAUUUUCGGUUUUCAUGAUUGUUAGAUACCAUUCUGAAUUAGAUAUUGUCCUGAAUAUUCAACUGUACCUAAUUAUGAUCCUGUACUUAAUAUGCUUAAAACAUGGCAGAUGCUUGGUAAAUUCUUACAAUGAAUGUGUAUCUUAAAGGGUUUGGGUAGAAUGAAGUAGAUUUAUCUUCACAAGCCUAUUUUCAGGACCACAUUUCUAUUGUUAUUGCUUUUCUCUCUAUGAUUAGCAUAUAUACCCAUACUUUAGCUACUUGUGUUCUUUAGGCUUAUUUAGGAGAUGGAUGGUGGAUUUGUAUAGUUUAAUUUUAACCUUAAUACUCAGUCUUUCUUUUUAAGGGUUUCACUUCAGAAUAUGUGUGUUUGUGUAUGCAUGUGUAUAUACAUAUGUAAUAAAAAUCAGAUAUAUUCAAAAGUAAAAUCAUUUCUCAGAAAUUCAUAAUUGCAAAGGUAAG